AGGCUUAACACAUGCAAGUCGAACGGUAACAUAGCUAGCUUGCUAGCUGAUGACGAGUGGCGGACGGGUGAGUAACGCGUAGGAAUCUACCUAUUAGUGGGGGACAACCUGGUGAAAACCAGGCUAAUACCGCAUACGCCCUACGGGGGAAAGCAGGGGAUCUUCGGACCUUGCGCUAUUAGAUGAGCCUGCGUUAGAUUAGCUUGUUGGUGAGGUAAUGGCUCACCAAGGCGACGAUCUAUAGCUGGUCUGAGAGGAUGAUCAGCCACACUGGGACUGAGACACGGCCCAGACUCCUACGGGAGGCAGCAGUGGGGAAUAUUGCGCAAUGGGCGAAAGCCUGACGCAGCCAUACCGCGUGUGUGAAGAAGGGUUUAGGCUCGUAAAGCACUUUAAGUAGGGAGGAAGGCCUGUAAAUUAAUACUUUGCAGGAUUGACGUUACCUACAGAAUAAGCACCGGCUAACUCCGUGCCAGCAGCCGCGGUAAUACGGAGGGUGCAAGCGUUAAUCGGAAUUACUGGGCGUAAAGCGCGCGUAGGCGGUUUGUUAAGCGAGAUGUGAAAGCCCAGGGCUCAACCUUGGAACUGCAUUUCGAACUGGCAGGCUAGAGUACAAGAGAGGGUGGUAGAAUUUCCUGUGUAGCGGUGAAAUGCGUAGAUAUAGGAAGGAAUACCAGUGGCGAAGGCGGCCACCUGGCUUGAUACUGACGCUGA
rnacentral:rRNA from 1 species